GAUCCUGGCUCAGGAUGAACGCUAGCUACAGGCUUAACACAUGCAGGUCGAGGGGCAGCAUGGUCUUAGCUUGCUAAGGCCGAUGGCGACCGGCGCACGGGUGGGUAACGCGUAUCCAACCUGCCUUACACUCUUGGACAGCCUUCUGAAAGGGAGAUUAAUACAAGAUGUUAUCAUGAGUAAGCAUUUUCGCAUGAUUAAAGGUUUACCGGUGUAAGAUGGGGAUGCGUUCCAUUAG
rnacentral:rRNA from 1 species